rfam:Pseudomonas syringae pv. tomato str. DC3000, complete genome.
GCAAUAGCCGACUAGGGUUCCGACUUGCCGACAGGCAAGUGGCUGGUCCGAGAGUUGGCGACCUCCAGUAGAGGUUACACGGCGGGACAAAAGCCCGGGAGAC